GAUCCUGGCUCAGAUUGAACGCUGGCGGCAUGCCUUACACAUGCAAGUCGAACGGCAGCACGGGAGCAAUCCUGGUGGCGAGUGGCGAACGGGUGAGUAAUAUAUCGGAACGUGCCCAGUCGUGGGGGAUAACGCAGCGAAAGCUGUGCUAAUACCGCAUACGAUCUCUGGAUGAAAGCGGGGGACUCGUAAGAGCCUCGCGCGAUUGGAGCGGCCGAUAUCAGAUUAGCUAGUUGGUGGGGUAAAGGCCCACCAAGGCGACGAUCUGUAGCUGGUCUGAGAGGACGACCAGCCACACUGGAACUGAGACACGGUCCAGACUCCUACGGGAGGCAGCAGUGGGGAAUUUUGGACAAUGGGCGCAAGCCUGAUCCAGCAAUGCCGCGUGCAGGAUGAAGGCCUUCGGGUUGUAAACUGCUUUUGUACGGAACGAAAAGGUCUGCCUUAAUACGGUGGGCCCAUGACGGUACCGUAAGAAUAAGCACCGGCUAACUACGUGCCAGCAGCCGCGGUAAUACGUAGGGUGCGAGCGUUAAUCGGAAUUACUGGGCGUAAAGCGUGCGCAGGCGGUUAUAUAAGACAGAUGUGAAAUCCCCGGGCUCAACCUGGGACCUGCAUUUGUGACUGUAUAGCUAGAGUACG
rnacentral:rRNA from 1 species